rnacentral:lncRNA from 1 species
CUCUUCCCCGGGCCACGAACAUCAACAACAAGUCGUCGACAUAAGACAACGCCCAUCCAGAUACACAUUUUAGCCCGAUCUGACCCCGGUGCGGCGAACCGUAAUCAGCGCCUCCUUAGUCAGCGUAUGAACUUUAAACCAAUGGUGUAGAUCAUCAUGAAUAUUUUAAAAGAUUCUGCCUUGGAAAAUGUAACGAAGGAUAUUGGUGAAAUUUCUUCUAGACUCCUAGACCAUAGAGCAGUCUUGCAAGGAGAAAUUAAAUAUUUCAUCAAAGAGUUUGAAACGAAGCGGAAUGAUCGAGAAUGCAAGAGAUUGGAAGCUGACCAGCAGAAAUUAAAAGAUUUGAAUGAAACUGUUGCCCCAGAGUGCUUGAAGAUAAUGAAGGAACACAUUCCAAACUUCCUCGAUCAAUUGGAGGCAGCAAACAAAAUAUGUUCUAAUCUGCAGAGCAAAGAAGAAAAACAUAUGGAGAUCAAAACCCUUGAUGAGCAACGUAAGAAGAGAGAGGAGAACUGGUCCUACUUCCUGGAGGAGUUAUCCAAGGAGAGAGACAGGGAAGAUGUGCAGCACGCCAACGAGAUAAAAGAGAUCGAUGACCACUUUGCAAAGCUGGAGGAAACGCUGGUCACAUCUGCUCCAUGAUCGAGACACAUCCAUGGAAGAAUAUGGAAUCUAUUUACUAGCUGAGAGCAGUAAUUCCUGCAUAUGCAAUUAGGUUUCCACACUUACUUUUGUUGUAUGGAAGCCAGCACGAAAUGUUAAGGUUCUGUAUGAAUGACUUCCUGUUGAAAUAUUGAAACUGUAGGGGUCUUGACUCUUGAGAUGUUUGCUUAAAGGUCUGGAAUUAAAUUGUAGGAUCUGUAUGCAUCGUAUGCAUGACCCAUGGAAUUACAGAUGUGUGGAGAUUGUCCCAAAGAUCUAGUAAUGCGGAGCCCAGUUGUAUUGUAGUGCAAAGUGAAGGCAGUUGAUGGAGUGAUGAUGGAACUUGUUUUAAAUGAUACCACAAUCAACCUUAUGAUGUGAUGAAGGAAAGAAAUGUGUAUCAAAACACAAAAAGAAAUAUCAGGAAUUUGGUACUGAAACCAGGAUACAGUGUGCUUCCAAUCGAUUCAUUUGUGUGGACUGAGGAAAUAAAAUCCAAAAAUAAACCCCUUUAAAAAAGUUUGGAAACUCCAGUUGGAUUAAAUGAAGCUCUCUUAUCAUGGCAUAAUCAUCGCUUUGAUUAUUAUCUUUAGGAAGUGGGUUUAUUCCUCUUUAGAAUGAUACCAUAUUUGUUAUGAUUUUGCAGCCAUGGAGUGAGCAGUACGUGAGAAUAAGGGACAGGGUCAAAAGUGAAAAUAUUGGUAUUGAAAUGCAGAGCAAUCUCCUUUCUUUCAUUUAAUAAGAGUGUUAUUUUUUAUAAAUGACAAUGGGGCAAUUGUUCCCAACUGGUCAUCCAUGAAUGCCAAAUUCUAAAGAAUAUGAAAUUGAAAUUGAUGUACUAUGGUGACAUGUCAGGCAAGAUUCGCAUCAAUUUUUUUUGAAGCAUCAUGUCUGGGUGAACAACUGUUGAAAAGGCCCAGGCAGUAUGGUAAUUUGAAUUCAUAGUCGAACAAGAGCAGUGCAUUUUGCAUCUUUUCACUUUUUACCUUGCCCCUUAUUUUGAUCUACUGCACAUUCCAUGAUUGAAAAAGCAUAACAAACUGGGUAUCAUUUAAAAAGGAAUAAACACACUUUCUAAUGUUUUAGUCAAUAAGUAGCAAGAUUUGAAAAUUAAUUAUUUCUUCACAAUCAGUAGAAAAAUUACCUGUUUCGGUAUAUGCUAUAUAUUAUAUGCUUGUAUGUAAACAACCAGAGGACCAAUGGCUUUAAGUCUACUCUACUUCUGUAUUUAUAAGUGCCUGAUAUCCUAGUUAAGCUUCAGUCUGUUGCAAUCUCCUAAAAGCUAUCACUAGUUACCAUAGUAAUAGACAAAGGUUUCCGUAAAUGCCGAUAUGACCUGAUAGGUGUCUACUCAACUAUACAGAGAGAAUUAUUUUAUUUGGUUUAGUAACUUUUGUUUCGUUGUUUUGUUUAUUUUGAGUAUGAAAAGUUCAAUAACGUUUGCAGAAUUAUCAUACAGGAGCAUUAUUGUGAUCAUUGACUGUUUUGUGGUGGGACUACCCUGUAACUAAAUUUUUGUACCAUGUAGUGCAGAAAUCUUACUAUGCCUUGUCAUUGUCAACAGUGCUGACAUAAUUGUUAUUCGUUAAAUGCCAGAAAUCUUAAUUAUGGAAACAGUUUAUGUAUAAAAAACGAACUAUUUUUAAAUUUAAAUUUGUGUAAAGAAAAAAUAAGAAUGUUGCAAAUUGUAUACAUACUUCAGUGCUUCAGCAUGCAAAGUCUGAAGUCUGAAUUAAUUUUCGCCAUUGACCUGUUCAGUUGCUAUUCAAAGGUGCAAUAAAAUCAGUUUAUCUAAAAAAAAAAA